GAUGAAGAACGUAGCGAAAUGCGAUAAGUAAUGUGAAUUGCAGAAUUCCGUGAAUCAUCGAAUCUUUGAACGCAUAUUGCGCCCCUUGGUAUUCCAUGGGGCAUGCCUGUUCGAGCGUCAUUUGUACCUUCAAGCUCUGCUUGGUGUUGGGUGUUUGUCUCGCCUCUGCGUGUAGACUCGCCUCAAAACAAUUGGCAGCCGGCGUAUUGAUUUCGGAGCGCAGUACAUCUCGCGCUUUGCACUCAUAACGACGACGUCCAAAAGUACAUUUUUACACUCUUGACCUCGGAUCAGGUAGGGAUACCCGCUGAACUUAAGCAUAUCAAUAAGCGGAGGA
rnacentral:misc_RNA from 1 species